UUCAAGGAAAGUGAAAAAUGGGAAAUCGUUUGCUUUUUAACGUUUCACAUAGUCAACUUCUUUCUCAUGAUAGAAAAUCAACUAUAGGAAUUGUAAUUGGAUUUCAUUCAUAUGAUUGUGGUUUUGAUCUUUGUUCCUUGCAUUCCACCCUUGUAUAUGUGUUUUUACAUUUUCUUUAUUUUAUUUAUUUUUAUUUUUUAUUUUAAUCCUAAAACCCCCUUAUUUGUGUUUACUUGUAUAUAUUUCUAUUCUUUGUUUUAUUUUUGUAAAUAAUACUUUAUACUUUUAUUAAUUCUUUAUUUGUUUAUGCAAUUACAGAUGUACCCUCAAUCUCCGGCUAGAACGAUCUCUACUUAUUCUAUACUGACAACUACAUUUUGCAUCGUUAAAUUGUGCGCUUGUCCUUAGCGUAUCAUUGAACACCUAGCUAGAUAGUGGAAGUUGUGUGCAGAUUAAAUGGCAUGACCGAGAAGGCAACAGUGGAAGAACUGAUGAAGCAGAAAGGACUGGUAAAGCUAGCUAGGAUAGAUGACCGAGAAAUUAACGAAAUUUCUCUUGCAGUUCGAGAUUCCUGGCCGGUGAUCGAUAUAACCUAAUGAGAGGAUUCAUUCAUUAAUUUGCAUGAUGCCCAGAAAGGGAAAUUUAUCUGCCACUAACAGAAGGUCAGUUUUCUCAAGUUACACAUGGAGAACUCUUCUCACCUUGCUGGAGACACUAGUGAAUGAAGGGUAAUCAACGAACACUACGAAUAACCAAGAAUUAUUACUUCUGAGAAAUUCUGCAACUGCAAGUCUGCAAGUGCACACCCACUCAUCUGAUAAUACCUAGCAAGUGGUUACAUGCGCAUGUCCUUUUAUUCCUUCCCUACUACC